GACGAACGCUGGCGGCGUGCUUAACACAUGCAAGUCGAACGGUAAGGCCCUUCGGGGUACACGAGUGGCGAACGGGUGAGUAACACGUGGGUGAUCUGCCCCGCACUUCGGGAUAAGCAUGGGAAACUGGGUCUAAUACCGGAUAGGACCACUGCCUGCAUGGGUGGUGGUGGAAAGCUUUUGCGGUGUGGGAUGGGCCCGCGGCCUAUCAGCUUGUUGGUGGGGUGAUGACCUACCAAGGCGACGACGGGUAGCCGGCCUGAGAGGGUGACCGGCCACACUGGGACUGAGAUACGGCCCAGACUCCUACGGGAGGCAGCAGUGGGGAAUAUUGCACAAUGGGCGCAAGCCUGAUGCAGCGACGCCGCGUGAGGGAUGACGGCCUUCGGGUUGUAAACCUCUUUUAGCACCGACGAAGCGCAAGUGACGGUAGGUGCAGAAGAAGGACCGGCCAACUACGUGCCAGCAGCCGCCGUAA
rnacentral:rRNA from 1 species